UCCAGAAAGAGGACUAAUUGAUGCCACCUGUU
rnacentral:piRNA from 1 species